AUAAGACUGAAUUCUCAUUCGCAUAACAUUUGUAGCGCUUCAAAAGAAAUGAUUCUGAAGUUAUUUUCGGCAUUUUUGCUAGUUUCUUUUUUUGUUCGACUAAGAGAACCCGUAAGAUGCGAACAAAUAAAUUUUAAGCUGGAAGAUGGGGCUGUUUUUACCAGCCAGCUAAGUCCGUGGCAACUUCACAAGAAGCCAGACAAACCAUUGCGGGUGCUUUUGCAAAAUGACGAACUCGAAAAAGGGUGGGCUGAAUACAUGAAGAAAAUGAACAGUUGGUGGGUUUGGACGUGGGGCGGUUGUGAGGUCAAGUACGUCUGCCGCAAACAAUGCAGUAACUUCUUCGGGGACAGCUACGUAGCUCCACUGAGUAAACUCUGUCAGUUAGAAGUCAAAUGUCACAAAAUUGGAUGUACAUGUUCAUGUGCCUAAUGAUAAAUCGAAUACUCAGUUGGAAAAUUUUUGUACGCGUCUGCGAUAUGAAACAAUUUUCCAUUUUCGUAUGUGGAAAGCGUAACAAAUGUGACUGAGAGUUCCUAGAACGUAACAGGACAAUAAAUUAAAUACAGUGCCUCAA